CCUACGGGAGGCAGCAGUGAGGAAUAUUGGUCAAUGGUCGGGAGACUGAACCAGCCAAGCCGCGUGAGGGAUGAAGGUACAGAGUAUCGUAAACCUCUUUUGUCAGGGAACAAAGGCGGGGACGUGUCCCCGGUUGAGUGUACCUGAAGAAAAAGCAUCGGCUAAAUCCGUGCCAGCAGCCGCGGUAUUACGGAGGAUGCGAGCGUUAUCCGGAUUUAUUGGGUUUAAAGGGGGCGCAGGCGGUCUGUUAAGUCAGCGGUCAAAGCCCGGGGCUCAACCCCGGCCCGCCGUUGAAACUGGCAGUCUCGAGUUGGAGAGAAGUAUGCGGAAUGCGCGGUGUAGCGGUGAAAUGCAUAGAUAUCGCGCAGAACUCCGAUUGCGAAGGCAGCAUGCCGGCUCCACACUGACGCUGAGGCACGAAAGCGUGGGUAUCGAACAGGAUUAGAUACCCCUGUAGUC
rnacentral:rRNA from 1 species